GAUGAACGCUGGCGGCGUGCCUAAUACAUGCAAGUCGAGCGAACAGACGAGGAGCUUGCUCCUCUGACGUUAGCGGCGGACGGGUGAGUAACACGUGGAUAACCUACCUAUAAGACUGGGAUAACUUCGGGAAACCGGAGCUAAUACCGGAUAAUAUAUUGAACCUCAUGGUUCAAUAGUGAAAGACGGUUUUGCUGUCACUUAUAGAUGUAUCCGCUCCGCAUUAGCUAGUUGGUAAGGUAACGGCUUACCAAGGCAACGAUGCGUAGCCGACCUGAGAGGGUGAUCGGCCACACUGGAACUGAGACACGGUCCAGAAUCCUACGGGAGGCAGCAGUAGGGAAUCUUACGCAAUGGGCGAAAGCCUGACGGAGCAACGCCGCGUGAGUGAUGAAGGUCUUCGGAUCGUAAAACUCUGUUAUUAGGGUAGAACAAAUGUGUAAGUAACUAUGCACGUCUUGACGGUACCUAAUCAGAAAGCCACGGCUAACUACGUG
rnacentral:rRNA from 1 species